CAACCCUCGAGCCCCCGUGGCCCGGCGUUGGGGAUCUGCCCAGGCAGGCCCCGAAAACCAGUGGCGGACCCGUUACAGGCCCUUCCUUUGCGUAGUAAUACUGCCUCGCAUCGGGAGCCGGCGGGCUUUCAGCCUCUAAACCCCCAGCAAGUCCGCUCCGGCGGCACCAA
rnacentral:misc_RNA from 2 species